UAAUAAUAAUAAUAAUAAUAAUAAUAAUAAUAAUAAUAAACUAAUAAUUUAUAAUACAUAUACACAUAAACUUAUAUACUAUACAGCAGCGUAAACAUACACAACAUAUAUUCUUGUCAUUUUUAGAAAAUUACCUUUAUAAAUAAAAAUAUUUCCGAUCUCAAUGGGGCGUGGUCGAUCGGGGAUCGCGUUCGUAGGAAGGACAAUGAUUUGGAAGAGGCAGAGCAGAACAGCAAAGACUUAUUAUAUAAAGGAUCUUGAUUUGAAUUCUCAACCAUACUUUGUACGUCGAAUCGAUAAGUCUCGUGUACAUGACCGGCUUUGUUCGCCAAUGGACAUUUAAGAUUCAUUCUUAAUUUUUUAUUACCACUCAAGUUCACUUAUCAUUUUUCAAAUAUGACGUUUCAUUUUGAAAUGAAAUUUGAUUAACACGCAAUAUAUCGAGUUCCAACGUAGUUUAACCCACGUUUGCCGAUCCACAGCUUCAAUAAUUACAUACCGUGAACGGAAUAGCGAAUCAAUGCGAGCGUGAGAGACACAGGGCUCGGUAAUAAGGGCCUCGAUAUAUAUAUAUAUAUAACACUAACACUGGCAAACAAGUACCACCGAGUAAAGAUGUAAUCGGGAAGCGUGUACGGGCGUAUCGCGCACGUGCCUAACUAUCUUUACACUGAUGAUGCAUUACGCGCAGCCGGUGCUCGGCACAUUCAACGAACGUUUCAUUUCUCACGGAUGUUAUUUGCUUCUCUGGCUGCAUGCACUGUCUAUGUUUAAUGCAUAUAGUAUUUAUACAUACCUAUAUAAAGUAAAUGCACAGGCGCGUAUUACGUAUGUGAGGCUCUUUAAUUCGUUGCGUACAAUGGAUGUACGAAGUCGAUAGAAACGAUACGAUAAUAUAAGAUAGAGAUAAGCGGAUUGAGAAUCCGAUCGGACAGAUUUUCCACGCGAUUUGCGUUGUUAAGGCGCAAAAGAAGAAACUGUGAGGGAAUAUCCUUUAUAAGAGAGUUAAAGCCAUCGGUGAACGAAUUCGCGAGUCUCUUUUAUUUUCCCACAUCUUUUUCUUUAUUUCCCCUUAAUUUUUUUCUUCUUAGAAUCAUUCUUUAUUUUUUUGCAGAGGCUAAUCUCUUUUCGCGCGAUACCAUAGAAUAUCAUUUAAAGAAGAGGGUGGCUUGAAGUUAUCACUUUCCUCUCGAAUGUUUGUCAUUACGAGCUUGCGAGGAAGAUUAUUUGAUAGAAGCCGUAGAAAGUAGGCAACUCGGAGGAUAACCAAUUUCUUCGAAGAUGCAUCUUUGCCAGCACACGUACAUAUACGAGUACGAGAAUGAUCAGGAGAUAAAGAGGAGAGAUCCAAAGAAGCAUCUAUCGCGGGGAACACAGAAGAGACACGUAUACUAAAUAAUAAAAAAAAAGAAAUGCUUCUAUGCAAGCACCAAUUGAUAAUAUCACUACGAUCUAAGCUUUUUAAAGAACUUUAACAAGUACUAAAAAUAGCAUAUAUCAAGGAAACACAACCUACUCUUAUAAAUAACAUGGAGAACACAAAAUAUAAAUACACGCAUAUACAAAACGUACACGUAUAUUAUACGUAUAUACAUAUAAAUAUAUAAAUACCGUAUAAAUAUAUAAAUAUAAAUAUAAAUUAUAAAUAUGAAUAUAUAUAUAUAAAUAUAAAUAAAUAUAUAUAAAUAUAAAUACAUAUAUAUAUAUAAAUAUAUAAAUACGAAGGUCAAACGACGAUUGUAGACAAACUAGAAAAAAAUAUAAACUAUUUUAUCCAACAAAGUUUUUGCUACAACCGACGUAGUGUGCAUCUUGCUAAAUGUCAUAAUCGAGACUUAUUAAGAGGGAGAAGAGAGAGAGAGAGAGAGAGAGAGAGAGAGAGAGAGAGAGAGAGAGAGAGAGAGAGAGAGAGAGAAGGAGGGAGAGAGAUGGUGAAAAUGCAUUAAGAAUGUUUGUCACGAGUACGAUGCAAAAUAUAAUUGAUAACAUAUGCAUUUUGAUAGAGACCCAUGUCAGUUUUCGUUAGAAAGAAGAAAGAGAAAGUGCAAUAAAGUCGAAGCAACUACGUAGUAGAGAACGGACUACGCAACGAUAAAUAGGAGAUACCAACUGUUGGACAUUACCAUUGUCUAAAUACUGCUAUGUAAUAAGUUCGGUAAGGUCGAAUUUACUAUGUAAAUUGUCUGAUAGAAAGAGAGAGAGAGAGAGAGAGAGAGAGAGAGAGAGAGAGAGAGAGAGAGAGA